AAAAAGGCGAUGAUGGGGAGAGUACGUGUAGCGAGUAUGCACAGGGAGAAGGGGUCACCGACUGGAAGCCCUUUCGCAGAAGACCUACACCGAAGUUCACCCCAGAGCUGGCUGUUGAAACCCUGCCUUCAUAAUCCGGCAGGUGUAAGUAGAUAGCCCCGGAGGUCCCCGUUACAGGACAAACCGAGUGGAUUUAUGGUGGCGCACAGUUAUCUUCCAGGUGCUGUGCCUGGCGAUCAUAAUUCAAAACGGGUGGUACCGCGGAGCUUGCUAUUCUAGCGCGAACGUGCAGAAUUUUGCCGACAACUUCGUCCCUGUU
rnacentral:ncRNA from 1 species